GGGAGUACGGUCGCAAGACUGAAACUCAAAGGAAUUGACGGGGGCCCGCACAAGCGGUGGAGCAUGUGGUUUAAUUUGAAGCAACGCGAAGAACCUUACCAGGUCUUGACAUCCUUUGACAAUCCUAGAGAUAGGACGUCCCCUUCGGGGGCAGAGUGACAGGUGGUGCAUGGUUGUCGUCAGCUCGUGUCGUGAGAUGUUGGGUUAAGUCCCGCAACGAGCGCAACCCUUGAUUUUAGUUGCCAGCAUUCAGUUGGGCACUUUAAGGUGACUGCCGGUGACAAACCGGAGGAAGGUGGGGAUGACGUCAAAUCAUCAUGCCCCUUAUGACCUGGGGUACACACGUGCUACAAUGGGCAGAACAAAGGGCAGCGAAACCGCGAGGUUAAGCCAAUCCCACAAAUCUGUUCUCAGUUCGGAUCGCAGUUUGCAA
rnacentral:rRNA from 1 species